AACUGAAGAGUUUGAUCAUGGCUCAGAUUGAACGCUGGCGGCAGGCCUAACACAUGCAAGUCGAGCGGUAGAGAAGGAGCUUGCUUCUUCUUGAGAGCGGCGGACGGGUGAGUAAUGCCUAGGAAUCUGCCUGGUAGUGGGGGACAACGUUUCGAAAGGAACGCUAAUACCGCAUACGUCCUACGGGAGAAAGUGGGGGAUCUUCGGACCUCACGCUAUCAGAUGAGCCUAGGUCGGAUUAGCUUGUAGGUGAGGUAAUGGCUCACCUAGGCAACGAUCCGUAACUGGUCUGAGAGGAUGAUCAGUCACACUGGAACUGAGACACGGUCCAGACUCCUACGGGAGGCAGCAGUGGGGAAUAUUGGACAAUGGGCGAAAGCCUGAUCCAGCCAUGCCGCGUGUGUGAAGAAGGUCUUCGGAUUGUAAAGCACUUUAAGUUGGGAGGAAGGGUUGUAGCUUAAUACGCUGCAACCUUGACGUUACCAACAGAAUAAGCACCGGCUAACUCUGUGCCAGCAGCCGCGGUAAUACAGAGGGUGCAAGCGUUAAUCGGAAUUACUGGGCGUAAAGCGCGCGUAGGCGGCUUGAUAAGAUGGGUGUGAAAUCCCCGGGCUUAACCUGGGAACUGCAUCCAUAACUGUCUGGCUAGAGUACAGUAGAGGGUGGUGGAAUUUCCUGUGUAGCGGUGAAAUGCGUAGAUAUAGGAAGGAACACCAGUGGCGAAGGCGACCACCUGGACUG
rnacentral:rRNA from 1 species